UCAUUUCUCGUUGGGAGCUCUCCAUGAUUUCUGAUUCACAACCAUCCAUGGCCCAAACGCCUCCUCUUCUUUCCCCUCGAUGUUACCAACCGACACCACCUCCUUCUCCCUUGGGUGAUCCAGAUUAUCAACGGAAUGAGGACAUAGAGCCUUCAUAUGGCCAUUCCUGCCACAACCAAAACAAAUCAACGGUAAGGCCACAUAUUCUACUCGUUGAACUGUUCUAUUUACCAGAAUCUGAGGGAUCAGUGGUUUGUCAAGGUCAACAUAAAUCGCCAUUUGAGCAAAUCUCCCCCUCGACCUACUAUUUCUAUUGUAGUCGAGUUUUUCCACUCUACCAAUGAAACCGCCAAUCUCUUCUAAAAUCUUUCUCUUAUAUAGAAACCCCAGCAAACCUGGCAAUCUAAUCCACGUCAUAACAACAUUUGGAAAUAGUUGCAAGGGAUUAAAAUCUGGCAUCCACGGUUGAACGGUUAAAUAUUGUCCGAACACAACACAUGGCUCUUGUGUAAGCUCUUUUUCAGAAUCAUCGUUGCUUUGGAAUUUCACCAAAAAGUACCCAUGUUCCACAUCUAUAAGUUUAAACGGCAUGGAUGGCUGCCAUAAAUUAUAAAUCUUGUUUUGUAGGGUGGUAUAGCCAAUGUUCCUCCCCCAAAAGCUUAACAACCACCAUGGUAGCCAUCUCCUUUACCAGGAUUCGCUGAACCCGAUUAGAGAACAUUAUUGACAGAACUCCAUUAACAGUGGAUCUCAUGACAUCUCUAUCCAAUAGUUCAAAAUAUUCCUCAAACCCCCAUCCGAAUCAACAGAUGAGUUUUUAGACCCAAGAGCUCCCCUACCCAGAAGCCUAUCCUUCCAAGAAAGCAUUGGCUCAGGAGACAUAUCUACGAUCAUAUCAACGCCUUCCUCCCCAUCUGUUCCCUUAAAGCGCACUUUUUUGGUGGCCCGAUCUUCCGACGAGCGAAACCCACCACUAUCUUCUAUUGACAUUCUCAAAAGUUAAAUGUAAGUGUUUAUUGAAACUUAUUAUAUGUUUUGAUUUCCAAAACCAAUAAGUUUUCUUAAUUGAACUUAAUCCAAAGCAAAUAUUUAGGUAGCAUUUUAAUGGGGGACUGUUUUGUUCAUAUGUAUUUAAUUUACUUAUUUUUCCAAUAAAAAAAUUAAAAUGCAAUCUAAAAUAUCUGUAAAGCUGCACAUAAAACAAGUGUACAUGCAGACUUAACGUAUUCGUGUACGCUUUGAUAUGG
rnacentral:lncRNA from 1 species